rnacentral:rRNA from 2 species
AGAGUUUGAUCCUGGCUCAGGACGAACGCUGGCGGCGUGCCUAAUACAUGCAAGUCGAACGCUUCUUUUCCCACCGGAGCUUGCUCCACCGGGAAAAGAGGAGUGGCGAACGGGUGAGUAACACGUGGGUAACCUGCCCAUCAGAAGGGGAUAACACUUGGAAACAGGUGCUAAUACCGUAUAACAAUCGAAACCGCAUGGUUUCGUUUUGAAAGGCGCUUUACGGUGCCGCUGAUGGAUGGACCCGCGGUGCAUUAGCUAGUUGGUGAGGUAACGGCUCACCAAGGCCACGAUGCAUAGCCGACCUGAGAGGGUGAUCGGCCACAUUGGGACUGAGACACGGCCCAAACUCCUACGGGAGGCAGCAGUAGGGAAUCUUCGGCAAUGGACGAAAGUCUGACCGAGCAACGCCGCGUGAGUGAAGAAGGUUUUCGGAUCGUAAAACUCUGUUGUUAGAGAAGAACAAGGGUGAGAGUAACUGUUCACCCCUUGACGGUAUCUAACCAGAAAGCCACGGCUAACUACGUGCCAGCAGCCGCGGUAAUACGUAGGUGGCAAGCGUUGUCCGGAUUUAUUGGGCGUAAAGCGAGCGCAGGCGGUUUCUUAAGUCUGAUGUGAAAGCCCCCGGCUCAACCGGGGAGGGUCAUUGGAAACUGGGAGACUUGAGUGCAGAAGAGGAGAGUGGAAUUCCAUGUGUAGCGGUGAAAUGCGUAGAUAUAUGGAGGAACACCAGUGGCGAAGGCGGCUCUCUGGUCUGUAACUGACGCUGAGGCUCGAAAGCGUGGGGAGCAAACAGGAUUAGAUACCCUGGUAGUCCACGCCGUAAACGAUGAGUGCUAAGUGUUGGAGGGUUUCCGCCCUUCAGUGCUGCAGCUAACGCAUUAAGCACUCCGCCUGGGGAGUACGACCGCAAGGUUGAAACUCAAAGGAAUUGACGGGGGCCCGCACAAGCGGUGGAGCAUGUGGUUUAAUUCGAAGCAACGCGAAGAACCUUACCAGGUCUUGACAUCCUUUGACCACUCUAGAGAUAGAGCUUCCCCUUCGGGGGCAAAGUGACAGGUGGUGCAUGGUUGUCGUCAGCUCGUGUCGUGAGAUGUUGGGUUAAGUCCCGCAACGAGCGCAACCCUUAUUGUUAGUUGCCAUCAUUUAGUUGGGCACUCUAGCAAGACUGCCGGUGACAAACCGGAGGAAGGUGGGGAUGACGUCAAAUCAUCAUGCCCCUUAUGACCUGGGCUACACACGUGCUACAAUGGGAAGUACAACGAGUCGCGAAGUCGCGAGGCUAAGCUAAUCUCUUAAAGCUUCUCUCAGUUCGGAUUGUAGGCUGCAACUCGCCUACAUGAAGCCGGAAUCGCUAGUAAUCGCGGAUCAGCACGCCGCGGUGAAUACGUUCCCGGGCCUUGUACACACCGCCCGUCACACCACGAGAGUUUGUAACACCCGAAGUCGGUGAGGUAACCUUUUUGGAGCCAGCCGCCUAAGGUGGGAUAGAUGAUUGGGGUGAAGUCGUAACAAGGUAGCCGUAUCGGAAGGUGCGGCUG